GCCUGGUGCGGUGGCACACGCCUGUAAUCCCAGCGGCUUGGGAGGCUGAGGCAGGAGGAUCACAAGUUCAAAGCCAGCCUCAGCAAAAUCAAGGUGCUAAGCAACUCAGUGAGACCCUGUCUCUA
rnacentral:sRNA from 1 species